UACGGAGGAUGCGAGCGUUAUCCGGAUUUAUUGGGUUUAAAGGGUGCGUAGGCGGGAUGCCAAGUCAGCGGUAAAAAUGCGGUGCUCAACGCCGUCGAGCCGUUGAAACUGGCGUUCUUGAGUGGGCGAGAAGUAUGCGGAAUGCGUGGUGUAGCGGUGGAAUGCGUAGAUAUCGGGAGGAACACCAGUGGCGAAGGCGGCCUGCUGGACAUUAACUGACGCUGAGGCGCGAAAGCGUGGGGAGCAAACAGG
rnacentral:rRNA from 1 species